CCUGCUCAUGAAUUCACAAAAAUUAUUGCUUUGGAUGGAAGAAUGAAAAGGAAACCUAAACCAACUAGAAAGCCUUGUCUUUCUAAUGAGGCCUACUGCAUGGACACUGAGGUCAACCAGAUGAUCCUAGAAUGUUAGCUAAGAAAAUCACUCAGCCAAGACUACAAAAAUUGGUGCAUGGGAAAAGAUAAUCAGAAGAAGAAGAAAAACAACCCUCUGGUUUCCCAGCUUCCUCUUCAUUC
rnacentral:lncRNA from 1 species